rnacentral:rRNA from 1 species
AUAACCGGCGGAAACGGCGACUAAUACCCCAUAUGCUGCGAUGCUGCAUGGCAUUGCAAUGAAAGAUUCAUCGGUGGCGGAUAGGCUCGCGGGACAUUAGCUAGACGGCGGGGCAACGGCCCACCGUGGCGACGAUGUCUAGGGGUUCUGAGAGGAAGACCCCCCACACUGGGACUGAGACACGGCCCAGACUCCUACGGGAGGCAGCAGUGAGGAAUAUUGGUCAAUGGGCGGAAGCCUGAACCAGCCAUGCCGCGUGAAGGACUAAGGCCCUACGGGUCGUAAACUUCUUUAGACGCAGAGCAAUAAGGUCCACGAGUGGACCGAUGAGAGUAUGCGUAGAAUAAGCAUCGGCUAACUCCGUGCCAGCAGCCGCGGUAAUACGGGGGAUGCGAGCGUUAUCCGGAUUCAUUGGGUUUGAAGGGUGCGUAGGCGGCCGAGUAAGUCAGCGGUGAAAGACCGGGGCUCAACCCUGGAAGUGCCGUUGAUACUGUUUGGCUGGAAUGAUCCCGCCGCGGGAGGAAUGAGUGGUGUAGCGGUGAAAUGCAUAGAUAUCACUCAGAACACCGAUUGCGAAGGCAUCUCGCGAGGGGUCAAUUGACGCUGAGGCACGAAAGCGUGGGGAUCGAACAGGAUUAGAUACCCUGGUAGUCCACGCGGU